rnacentral:lncRNA from 1 species
GGGGACUGGAGCCUGUAGUCUGAUGUCUGUCCCCGCAACGUGAGGUGGAGGGUCAGGAAGGGCAGGAGGGAGCCUGAGCUGGUGAGUCAGGCAGGAUCUCCAGGAGCCUGCUGGUCCUUGAGCCCGCGAGGGACCCUGAGCCUGUGCCCCUGCACUGUAGCAGCUGCCCAUCCCCACACCCCGCCUCCCCCCCGCCCUGAACCUGCACCCCAGGCUCAACACACCAGGGGACACACAGAAGCCCUCUCCCGGGCCAGAGCGGCCGGGAAGACCCGAGCAGGUAAAGCUGGGGCCCCUCAGGGGGCCAGGGGGGACACACACGUGACCAGCUCCGCCCUGCCACAGAACGGAUGAGAGAAACGCGCUGCGGCCCUGCACGUGAGUCAGCACGCAUCGCCCCCAGGCCUGGGGGGACCACGGAGCCCCCAGUGUGGAGGGGGAGUCGCUGCAGGUGACCCUUCCCUGAGACGGGGCGACAGCCCUCCAGGGUGCUGGCCGGUGGCCUCUGCCCCUGCAUGCUGAGCAGGACCGGCUGCACCUAGGAGGGCCAGGUACGGGCCAGGCUGUGCGGCCAUUGGCCCCUCAGCCAGA